CUAGAUCGGGGGGCCUCGAUCCCACAAAAUCUUAGUUAACAACUAAACACCCAAACCAGAGGGCUUCAGUCUA
rnacentral:tRNA from 1 species